rnacentral:rRNA from 1 species
GGUUAAGCGACUAAGCGUACACGGUGGAUGCCCUGGCAGUCAGAGGCGAUGAAGGACGUGCUAAUCUGCGAUAAGCGUCGGUAAGGUGAUAUGAACCGUUAUAACCGGCGAUUUCCGAAUGGGGAAACCCAGUGUGUUUCGACACACUAUCAUUAACUGAAUCCAUAGGUUAAUGAGGCGAACCGGGGGAACUGAAACAUCUAAGUACCCCGAGGAAAAGAAAUCAACCGAGAUUCCCCCAGUAGCGGCGAGCGAACGGGGAGCAGCCCAGAGCCUGAAUCAGUGUGUGUGUUAGUGGAAGCGUCUGGAAAGGCGUGCGAUACAGGGUGACAGCCCCGUACACAAAAAUGCACAUGCUGUGAGCUCGAUGAGUAGGGCGGGACACGUGGUAUCCUGUCUGAAUAUGGGGGGACCAUCCUCCAAGGCUAAAUACUCCUGACUGACCGAUAGUGAACCAGUACCGUGAGGGAAAGGCGAAAAGAACCCCGGCGAGGGGAGUGAAAAAGAACCUGAAACCGUGUACGUACAAGCAGUGGGAGCACGCUUAGGCGUGUGACUGCGUACCUUUUGUAUAAUGGGUCAGCGACUUAUAUUCUGUAGCAAGGUUAACCGAAUAGGGGAGCCGAAGGGAAACCGAGUCUUAACUGGGCGUUAAGUUGCAGGGUAUAGACCCGAAACCCGGUGAUCUAGCCAUGGGCAGGUUGAAGGUUGGGUAACACUAACUGGAGGACCGAACCGACUAAUGUUGAAAAAUUAGCGGAUGACUUGUGGCUGGGGGUGAAAGGCCAAUCAAACCGGGAGAUAGCUGGUUCUCCCCGAAAGCUAUUUAGGUAGCGCCUCGUGAAUUCAUCUCCGGGGGUAGAGCACUGUUUCGGCAAGGGGGUCAUCCCGACUUACCAACCCGAUGCAAACUGCGAAUACCGGAGAAUGUUAUCACGGGAGACACACGGCGGGUGCUAACGUCCGUCGUGAAGAGGGAAACAACCCAGACCGCCAGCUAAGGUCCCAAAGUCAUGGUUAAGUGGGAAACGAUGUGGGAAGGCCCAGACAGCCAGGAUGUUGGCUUAGAAGCAGCCAUCAUUUAAAGAAAGCGUAAUAGCUCACUGGUCGAGUCGGCCUGCGCGGAAGAUGUAACGGGGCUAAACCAUGCACCGAAGCUGCGGCAGCGACGCUGAUGCGUUGUUGGGUAGGGGAGCGUUCUGUAAGCCUGCGAAGGUGUGCUGUGAGGCAUGCUGGAGGUAUCAGAAGUGCGAAUGCUGACAUAAGUAACGAUAAAGCGGGUGAAAAGCCCGCUCGCCGGAAGACCAAGGGUUCCUGUCCAACGUUAAUCGGGGCAGGGUGAGUCGACCCCUAAGGCGAGGCCGAAAGGCGUAGUCGAUGGGAAACAGGUUAAUAUUCCUGUGCUUGGUGUUACUGCGAAGGGGGGACGGAGAAGGCUAUGUUGGCCGGGCGACGGUUGUCCCGGUUUAAGCGUGUAGGCUGGUUUUCCAGGCAAAUCCGGAAAAUCAAGGCUGAGGCGUGAUGACGAGGCACUACGGUGCUGAAGCAACAAAUGCCCUGCUUCCAGGAAAAGCCUCUAAGCAUCAGGUAACAUCAAAUCGUACCCCAAACCGACACAGGUGGUCAGGUAGAGAAUACCAAGGCGCUUGAGAGAACUCGGGUGAAGGAACUAGGCAAAAUGGUGCCGUAACUUCGGGAGAAGGCACGCUGAUAUGUAGGUGAAGUCCCUCGCGGAUGGAGCUGAAAUCAGUCGAAGAUACCAGCUGGCUGCAACUGUUUAUUAAAAACACAGCACUGUGCAAACACGAAAGUGGACGUAUACGGUGUGACGCCUGCCCGGUGCCGGAAGGUUAAUUGAUGGGGUCAGCGCAAGCGAAGCUCUUGAUCGAAGCCCCGGUAAACGGCGGCCGUAACUAUAACGGUCCUAAGGUAGCGAAAUUCCUUGUCGGGUAAGUUCCGACCUGCACGAAUGGCGUAAUGAUGGCCAGGCUGUCUCCACCCGAGACUCAGUGAAAUUGAACUCGCUGUGAAGAUGCAGUGUACCCGCGGCAAGACGGAAAGACCCCGUGAACCUUUACUAUAGCUUGACACUGAACAUUGAGCCUUGAUGUGUAGGAUAGGUGGGAGGCUU